AUCUCUACUAUAAUUGAAAUCUACUCCAGCCAAUCCCCACCUGCAACAUCAACGACUUACAGCACAUGUCCUACAAAACAGACGGCUGAGAUUAAAAGUAUGAUGCCAACCUUACAUCCUCGCUCGCCUCACGCCUUCACGGUCGCCAGCCUCGCCUCGCCUCACGCCCUCACACCGUAUCGCAAAAAAAACAAACCCCGUGAAAACCUCCGUGGUGGCCUCCGUAACUCCAAAUUGAUUCCGGCCGUGGAAGCCGAUCGUGGCCUCCGUAAAUCCAAAUUGAUUCCGGCCGUGGAAGACCUCCCCGAUUCCGGCCGUGGAAGCCCACCUCCCCGAUUCCGGCCGUGGAAGCCGUGGAGGACCGCGUCCGAUCGUGGCCGUGGGAAGACCGCCCCGUGGAGGACCGUGUCCGAUCGUGGCCGUGGAGGAAUGGCCGUGGAGGAAGGCCGAGGACCGCGUCGGGCUGCUGCCGCAUCUUGCCGAACCCAGCCGUGGAAGACCGCCUCAGGCUGCUGCCGCAGCUAGGUCGGCUAAUUCGCGCGAUCCAUCUCUGCCUUCAUCUACCACAACUGACGCCCAGUUUCUCCUUCGUCUCUAAACGCCUCGUGAAGAACCAGGUCCACUUGUGCAUUCCACUGUGCUUCUUCUACUACUGCAAAAUAUAUAUAUAUAUAUAUUAUUAUACUUCUACUACUGAAUUUAUGCCUGCAUUAAUUUUUGUUUAUCUCUCUGAAAUUAUGCCUGCAUUAUUAUUUGUUUGUCUCUGCCCCUCCCAGCAAAGUGAUAGGAGUAAAAUGAAUAUGACAACCUGAACGCCUCGUGAAGAACCAGGUCCACUUGUGCAUUCCACUGUGCUUCUUCUACUACUGCAAAAAUAUAUAUAUAUAUAUAUAUAUAUUAUACUUCUACUACUGAAUUUAUGGCUGCAUUAAUUUUUGUUUAUCUCUCUGAAUUUAUGCCUGCGUUAUUAUUUGUUUGUUUCUAAAUUUGUUCAUUCUGAUUAUUCUCUUGUGGACUACUGCGAUCCUUUGAAAAAUCAAAAGGUGUUGCCUCCUAUCCUACCCAAUGUCGACGGUCCGAGAUACACCCAGUGCACUAAGUGACAUCACUAACGUCGCAGGUAUGAUGCCAAAUAGGAUACAUGUAUAGUAUUUGUGGGUGUCUAUUUAUUUUCCAUCUCUCUCUAUAGAUGAUGCCCGACGGACGAGGGAAGAACGGAACUUGCGGCAACGGGCUCGUCGAGCCGAGAUGUCCGACGAACGAAAGGAGGAGAUGAGAAGGAAACAACGUGAAUACUCGCGUCAAUAUCGACAAAGGAAGAAUGUCGAAUCCCAGAACUCUGCACUUUGUUUGGACAAGGAAAAUAUAGAAUCUAUGGCUAUUGGUAAAUAUCGCAUACAUGACAUGAAUUAUUAUAGUACAAAUACAAGAUGAUGUCACUCUAUUUAUUACUACAACAAUUUAUACGAGAUGACACUCCAUUUAUGCAGGUGAUCAGCAUUUUGGGAUAGACCAAAAUUCACCAUUUAUUACGAACGAGUCAAAUACCGAGCCAACUACAGAUGGGAAUCAUAGCUACGGUGGACUGCUCACAGGAGCCACGAUAGAAAGUAGACUACCUUUGAACAACGGUAACUAUCAAUUACCAUCACUUCAUGUGGCAUAUCUAAUCCCAAUGAUGACUAGCCUUACAGAAGUGGAUAUGCAGAUACUGCUAACACAGUGAUGGACACAAGAAAUAACCAACAUCGAAAGAGGAAAGUUGAGUUGACCAACGAAGAGUUACAAGAAAAGAGAAGGAAGGCUGCUGAGUACCAACGUCAAUAUCGAGCACGAAAAAAGGCUGAGUUGCAAAAUAAUAAAACCACGAGCAUUGCCAACCAAGACAGUGGUGGAGUAAUUGUUCAACCGUCCACAACCGCAAGUGCGAAUUUGGGAACUGGAUUAUCGACAAUAGUGCAAAUUGAUGACUCUGAGGAGCCUACAGAUUGGUUACACAAAAAUGAUAAUUAUGUUCCUACACGUAGGGAACCACCUAUUGCCCAAAAAAUGAUUUAAUUAUCUGGUAUAGCAGCAUCAAUAUUGCCCGGAGGACGCACUGCACACUCCAGAUUUAAAAUUCCAAUUAAAAUUGGGGAGAACACAAUGUGCAGCUUUUCAAAGCAAAGUGGCACUGCCGAGUUGCUUCGUAGAGCCUCGUUGAUUAUUUGGGAUGAAGUUGCCAUGACCAAGCGACAGUGUGUCGAGACACUUGAUAGGUCCCUACAGGAUAUCAUGGAAUGUGGUUUGCCAUUUGGAGGAAAGGUCAUGGUAUUUGGAGGAGACUUUAGACAGGUCCUUCCUGUGGUGCCACGUGGGACAAGAGCACAGGUAACUGAUGCUACUUUGCAGAAAUCAUAUUUGUGGGACCAAAUAAGAAAGAUACGAUUGACACAAAACAUGAGAGCACAGUCAGACCCUUGGUUUUCUGAGUACCUGCUACGAAUCGGAAACGGAACCGAAGAAACAAUUGGAGAUGAUUAUGUUCGACUCCCUGAUGACAUUGUGAUUGGAUAUACUGACACGGAUGAGGCAGUCAAUAGACUCAUUUCCUCAGUGUUCCCGUCACUUGAAGAGCAUGCAACAUCGGCUGCCUAUAUGAGCGGACGGGCCAUUCUAUCAACCAAAAAUGAACAUGUUGAUAGGCUGAAUGCAUUGAUGAUUGAAAGGUUUCCAGGUGAGGAGAAGGUUUACCACAGCUUUGACACAAUCGUUGAUGAUCCUCAAAAUCACUUCCCUAUUGAUUUUUUGAACUCAAUAACUCCAAAUGGCCUUCCUCCACAUGAGCUAAAACUGAAAAUCAAUUGUCCUGUGAUUCUUCUACGUAAUCUAGAUCCUAACAACGGCUUGUGCAAUGGAACAAGGCUAAUGGUCAGGGCAUUGCAAGACAAUGCAAUUGAUGCUGAGAUCGUUGGUGGUCAACAUGUGAGAAAAAGAGUGUUCAUACCAAGGCUACCAUUGUCUCCCUCGGAUGAUAUUUCUCUUCCUUUUAAGUUCAAGAGAAAACAAUUCCCAGUGAGGUUAAGUUUUGCCAUGACAAUAAAUAAAUCGCAGGGACAGACCAUCCCAAACGUUGGGAUCUACCUUCCAGAGCCCGUGUUCUCACAUGGACAGCUUUAUGUUGGUUUAUCAAGGGGUGUGUCAAGAUCAACAACAAGAAUUUUAGCCAAACCGAAAGAGGAAUUGGAUCCUACAGGGAAGAGCACCAAGAAUAUAGUUUUCAAAGAUGUCCUAAAUUGGUGAUAAACCGUUGAUAUACUCAGGUACAUUAACCCAGUACUCUCUUGUUUAAUUUAUGAGCCUCAUAUAACAUAUUAUACUAUGUCAUAUGCUUCUGGCAUUCACUAUAGUGAAAAAUAUUUCUAAUAUAGCAAACAAAUUAAAUGUUGAUGUGUGGUAACUGACCUUGUGUAAAUUGCAACUCUGCAGUGUUCAGACUUUAUCAGAAGCAUCAUCCUUCGCGUCCUCCCACUGCUGCUUCGGCGGAGGCGUGCCCUCCGCAUU
rnacentral:lncRNA from 1 species